GGGAUAACAGUUAGAAAUGACUGCUAAUACCGCAUAAGCGCACGGUACCGCAUGGUACAGUGUGAAAAACUCCGGUGGUGUGAGAUGGAUCCGCGUCUGAUUAGGUAGUUGGUGAGGUAACGGCCCACCAAGCCGACGAUCAGUAGCCGACCUGAGAGGGUGACCGGCCACAUUGGGACUGAGACACGGCCCAAACUCCUACGGGAGGCAGCAGUGGGGGAUAUUGCACAAUGGGCGAAAGCCUGAUGCAGCAACGCCGCGUGAGUGAAGAAGUAUCUCGGUAUGUAAAGCUCUAUCAGCAGGGAAGAAAAUGACGGUACCUGACUAAGAAGCCCCGGCUAACUACGUGCCAGCAGCCGCGGUAAUACGUAGGGGGCAAGCGUUAUCCGGAUUUACUGGGUGUAAAGGGAGCGCAGACGGCACUGCAAGUCUGAAGUGAAAGCCCGGGGCUCAACCCCGGGACUGCUUUGGAAACUGUAGAGCUAGAGUGCUGGAGAGGCAAGCGGAAUUCCUAGUGUAGCGGUGAAAUGCGUAGAUAUUAGGAAGAACACCAGUGGCGAAGGCGGCUUGCUGGACAGUAACUGACGUUCAGGCUCGAAAGCGUGGGGAGCAAACAGGAUUAGAUACCCUGGUAGUCCACGCCGUAAAC
rnacentral:rRNA from 1 species